UGGAAGUUAAGUUAGCGUUGGACUGAACAGUGGGCAGGCAGGGUCCGCGGGUGACUUUUCCCACUUUUUCCACCUUCAGAGUGCUCCGGGAGGUACAUACACGAUGGAAGCGAGAAGUCAGUACAGCAUUAACAGUGGAGAAAAUAAUAACAGCACUUCAAGUCAGGCAAGCGAUCAAGGUCAAGAACGCCUGUGAAGUCAUGGUGAUAACCUGUGUCCCUGAUGGCAUGAUGACAAUGAUCCCUCGCCUUUACAACCUUCCACCUGAAAAUCCCCAGCCCUGACUGGUGAGCCAGUGUUUUGUUAUAUACCUGUGUGAUGAUUCGCAGAACAGAUAAAGACACCAAAAUCAGGGGACAUCUAAGAAAUGGUCAGUGGCAUGGAGAGUCUGAGGAGCUGAGAGGGCUGAAAUGCAUGACAUUCCGCAUGAGAUCCUGGAGUGGGAAAAUGAGAUUGGGACAACAAGGGAAUCCAAAUAGACAGUAUGCUGUAGUUAAUAACCAUGGAUCUGUGUGAUAAAUACACCCUACCACAAGAGAACUUGGUCCCAAGCAUAAGAACCUUUAAACUACAUUUGCAAUAAUUCUAGAAAUCUGUAACUCUAAAAUUUCUUGUUUAAAAUAUCUUGUAUACCAUUUCUUAAGACAUGCAAAUAUAAGAACUAUAAAAUCAGAAA